UGGGGAAUCUUGCGCAAUGGGCGAAAGCCUGACGCAGCAACGCCGUGUGAGCGAAGAAGGCCUUCGGGUCGUAAAGCUCUGUCAGGGGGGACGAAGUCAGUGACGGUACCCCCGGAGGAAGCCCCGGCUAACUACGUGCCAGCAGCCGCGGUAAUACGUAGGGGGCGAGCGUUGUCCGGAAUUACUGGGCGUAAAGGGCGUGUAGGCGGCCGAUCAAGUCAGGUGUGAAAAUCCAGGGCUCAACCGUGGACGUGCACUUGAAACUGGUUGGCUUGAGUGCAGGAGAGGAAAGUGGAAUUCCCAGUGUAGCGGUGAAAUGCGUAGAUAUUGGGAGGAACACCAGUGGCGAAGGCGACUUUCUGGCCUGUAACUGACGCUGAGGCGCGAAAGCUAGGGGAGCAAACAGG
rnacentral:rRNA from 1 species